AACGAACGCUGGCGGCGUGCUUAACACAUGGCAAGUCGAACGCGAAAGGGGCUUCGGUCCUGAGUAAAGUGGCGCACGGGUGAGUAACGCGUGGAUAAUCUGCCUGACAUUUUGGGAGUAACAUUUCGAAAGGGGUGCUAAUACCGGAUAAGACCACGAGGCCUUAGGGCCAUGAGGUAAAAGGUGGGGACCUUCGGGCCUGCCGAUGUCAGAUGAGUCCGCGUACCAUUAGCUAGUUGGUGGGGUAAAGGCCUACCAAGGCGACGAUGGUUAGCUGGUCUGAGAGGAUGAUCAGCCACACUCGGAACUGAGACACGGUCCAGACUCCUACGGGAGGCAGCAGUGGGGAAUUUUGCGCAAUGGGGGAAACCCUGACGCAGCAACGCCGCGUGAGUGAUGAAGGCCUUCGGGUCGUAAAGCUCUGUCAGAGGGGAAGAAGUGUGAGGUGGCUAAUAACCAUUUCACUUGACGGUACCUUCAAAGGAAGCACCGGCUAACUCCGUG
rnacentral:rRNA from 1 species